rnacentral:rRNA from 1 species
UACAGAGGGUGCGAGCGUUAAUCGGAAUUACUGGGCGUAAAGGGCGCGUAGGCGGUGAGAUGAGUGUGGUGUGAAAGCCCCGGGCUUAACCUGGGAACUGCGCUUCUAACUGGCAGGCUUGAGUGUGGCAGAGGGGGGUGGAAUUCCACGUGUAGCAGUGAAAUGCGUAGAGAUGUGGAGGAACACCGAUGGCGAAGGCAGCCCCCUGGGCUAACACUGACGCUCAUGCACGAAAGCGUGGGGAGCAAACAGG